rnacentral:rRNA from 1 species
GACAGAGGGUGCAAACGUUGUUCGGAAUUACUGGGCGUAAAGGGCGCGUAGGCGGCUUGGCAAGUGGAUGGUGAAAUCCCUCGGCUUAACCGAGGAACUGCCGUCCAAACUGCUUAGCUUGAGACCGGGAGAGGUGAGUGGAAUUCCCAGUGUAGCGGUGAAAUGCGUAGAUAUCAGGAGGAACACCCGUGGCGAAAGCGGCUCUCUGGGACGGUACUGACGCUGAGACGCGAAAGCCAGGGGAGCGAACGGG